UAGGGAAUCUUCGGCAAUGGGCGAAAGCCUGACCGAGCAACGCCGCGUGAAUGAUGAAGGCCUUCGGGUUGUAAAAUUCUGUUAUAAGGGAAGAACGACUUUAGUAGGAAAUGGCUAGAGUGUGACGGUACCUUAUGAGAAAGCCACGGCUAACUACGUGCCAGCAGCCGCGGUAAUACGUAGGGGGCGAGCGUUAUCCGGAAUUAUUGGGCGGAAAGAGCGCGCCGGUGGUUGAUUAAGUCUGAUGUG
rnacentral:rRNA from 1 species